CACCAGAUGCCUCUGAGCCUGAGGUUGCAAACCUGCCCAUUAGGACCGUCCCAAAGGUAAGGGCAUUACUUAAGCGGUUGGUUCCCAAUUUGCCCAGAACCCUACACUUAGCAAAACGAUUUUUCCAGGCCUACCAAACCACUAUUAUUGAGACAGGUCACAGAAAGUGCAAAAUAAACCCCACGUUAACAGGCCCUCGCAGAGAAGGGGGCAACCUCCUCCUGAGCAAAACCAUCUGUGCACUUCUAAUGAGACGAAGAGGAACGCAUCUCUCUCUGCAGCGCCACCACCCUGCGGAUACAGAUGGUUUUGUGCAGCGACCUGUGUGCCUGAAAUGCAAACUUUGGUUUCUGCCGAAAAGGGCAGGACGGGCGAGAUAUGUCUCCCGGAGGAGGCAAAGGGUUAGCAUCUCCCACACGGUGCGGCUCUGCGCCCCGUGAAUUUCACAGUUCAGGAGGAGGACAGAGAAAUGCAAGCUGCCACAACCGCGCAGUUAAUGAUUACGUCGGUGUCGGGCGCAUUAACAACCAGGCCUAUUGAGGCAGGUUACGAGGGCUUUCGAACCAGGCCUUGUGCCUGGAAACGGUGCCAAGUCAACUGUUCUGAAUUCAAAUGCGCGUUGCUGUGGCAAUGGGGAUAACACCCCUCUGUAUGCUCCGGGCCCCACACAAAAGCCGCCUCUUUGGCUCAGCAGAGCAGUUUAAUCCAAAGCAUACACAUACUUUACAAAAAAUACUAGGAACUCUUGGUGCGCCUGGAGGAGGAGGAGGAGGAAGGUCCCUGCUGACCUCUCGCCAUGGAGGAAAAAGAAAUCUACAGGCGCAAAGGAUGCACAGGGCUUUGAAGCUUAUCCCCCAAAAGUAGAAAGAUCGGGGGCAAGUUUAAACUACAGGGUAGGCAAGAGAGAUGAACCCCAAUUCAGCCCCAGAACCUACUUGUUAAGGACAUCUUUUGCUGGCCUGGUUGCAUGACUGAAAGUAACUAAUGGUAUGGCUCAAAGAGAGCUUGGAGAGAGAGAUCUCAAAUUCCCCAAAGUACUAUAGGGGACAUAAUUAUAGGGACAGAACGACCUAAACUGUAUAGAAACUUAUUCAUGUAUGCUACUACAGCGGCAAGAAUGUUACUUGCCCCAAAAUGGAAAGAAGCAGAAGUCCCAGCAAAGGAAGAAUGGAUACCAAAACUUACCGGAAGAGUAAGAAAUCAAGACAACAAACUGCUUAUAAAAGAAUGGAAAUGGUUUGUUGAACAUUUACAGAUAAAUUGUAAACAGGUUAAGAACAUUGGCAGGAUUAUUGUAAUAACCUGCAGUUUUAUAAGAGUAUGUAUUUAAAGUAGAUGAAUAAAUGAGCAAAUUAAGUUAAUUUGGAUAUGCAGAAGAUACUAAAAAUAAAUUCAAGGAACUGUAGAAAGAGGGAGGGGGAAGGAAGUCGAGUUUUGAAAUGUUAAAAUGAUUGUGAAAUUGGU